rnacentral:rRNA from 1 species
UACGUAGGGGGCAAGCGUUGUCCGGAUUUAUUGGGCGUAAAGAGCGUGUAGGCGGCUGGGUAGGUCCGUUGUGAAAACUCGAGGCUCGACCUCGAGACGCCGAUGGAAACCCUCCAGCUAGAGUCCGGAAGAGGAGAGUGGAAUUCCUGGUGUAGCGGUGAAAUGCGCAGAUAUCAGGAAGAACACCCGUGGCUAAGGCGGCUCUCUAGUACGGUACUGACGCUGAGACGCGAAAGCGUGGGGAGCGAACAGG